rnacentral:rRNA from 1 species
GAUGAACGCUGGCGGCGUGGAUAAGGCAUGCAAGUCGAAUGGGUUUAGACCCAUGGCAAACGGGUUAGUAACGCGUAGGAACGUGCCCUCAAGUCAUGAAUAAUUCGGAGAAAUCCGGAAUAAUACAUGAUGUGCUCUACGGAGUAAAGGUUUACCGCUUGAGGAGCGGCCUGCGUCCUAUCAGCUUGUUGGUGAGGUAAUGGCUCACCAAGGCUAUGACGGGUAGGGGGUGUGAGAGCAUGGCCCCCAACAUUGGAACUGAGACACUGUCCAAACUCCUACGGGAGGCUGCAGUCGAGAAUAUUCCACAAUGGGCGAAAGCCUGAUGGAGCGACGCCGCGUGCAGGAUGACGGCCUUAGGGUUGUAAACUGCUUUUUUUAGGGAACAAAUUUUUGAGCUUACCUAAAGAAUAAGAGGUUACUAACUCUG